UUCCAAUGGAAUCCUGGUUGUCAUAUCCUA
rnacentral:piRNA from 1 species